rnacentral:rRNA from 1 species
AUGCCACCUUCCGUGCACGACACGGAAGGCCUGCCGUUCAUGAAGCAUGGUUGUGUCUUCAGUGCGCACCGCCGGAUGAACGUCAUGCUGGGACACGCUAUCCCUGAUUUAUGCCGCUUCAGCUUGGAUGAGUCUCCAUCGUGUGGAACCGGACUAGAAAGCCGCGACAAUGAUUCCCGUUGCCCACCGCUAUGGAUCGUGCCAUCCAUGAAGAACACCUGGGACUGGAACUUGGAGGAGGACAUGUAUAGGCUACAUUCAAAGAAGGAUUGGCCGGUGCUGCCGGCUGGCGUCAAGUUCGAUCCCACGGAUCAGGAGCUGAUCGAGCACCUUGAGGCCAAAGUGAGUGCUGACAGCACGAGAUUUCAGUCUCUCAUCGAUUUGUUCAUACCAACCAUCGACAGAGAGCACGGCAUAUGCUACACCCAACCUGAGAAACUUCCAGCGCAAUUCCAGGGCGUUCAAAAGGGGCACGUGGACGCGUCGCAAGAUACAGUCGGAGUGCGGCAUGCACGCGAUGUGGCACAAGACCGGCAAUACCUUGCCGGUGAUGGUCAACGGCCGGCAAGACGGGCAGCAAAAAAGGUUCUGGUGCUGCACACCAACAAGAACUUCGACCAGCAGAGGACCAACUGGGUGAUGCACCAGUACCACCUCGGAGACCUGGAGCAAGAGAAGGAGCGGGAGCUGGUCCUCUGCAAGAUUUUCUACCAGAUGAACACUAGGGCCAGGGGUAAAAAGAUUAUAAGUUAG